rfam:Stegodyphus mimosarum contig103623, whole genome shotgun sequence.
CAUAUCCUAUGAUGAAAUUAUAGUUCAGCUGAAAAUUGUGCUGACUUGUUUUCUUAUGUCUUUCGCUCCUAACUGAGGUGUAUG